AGAGUUUGAUCCUGGCUCAGAGCGAACGCUGGCGGCAGGCCUAACACAUGCAAGUCGAGCGCCCAGCAAUGGGAGCGGCAGACGGGUGAGUAACGCGUGGGGAUCUGCCCAAUGGUACGGAAUAACCCAGGGAAACUUGGACUAAUACCGUAUGUGCCCUUCGGGGGAAAGAUUUAUCGCCAUUGGAUGAACCCGCGUCGGAUUAGCUAGUUGGUGAGGUAAAGGCUCACCAAGGCGACGAUCCGUAGCUGGUCUGAGAGGAUGAUCAGCCACACUGGGACUGAGACACGGCCCAGACUCCUACGGGAGGCAGCAGUGGGGAAUAUUGGACAAUGGGCGCAAGCCUGAUCCAGCCAUGCCGCGUGUGUGAUGAAGGCCUUAGGGUUGUAAAGCACUUUCGCCGGUGAAGAUAAUGACGGAAACCGGAGAAGAAGCCCCGGCUAACUUCGUGCCAACAGCCGCGGUAAUACGAAGGGGGCAAGCGUUGCUCGGAAUCACUGGGCGAAAAGCGCAC
rnacentral:rRNA from 1 species